CCUGACACUUGUCACGCAAUGAUAUUCAGCAACAUUGUGAUGCCAUCAGAAGCAUCUCUGCUCUUUCCUCAUAAUACACCCAGGCAACUGCUCGAGCGCAUUCUUACCUCAAUGUAAUCGUCUGUGGGGAGGUUCUUGUAGGUGGCAAUUCCUGCCUCAGGAGAGUGUGUACGUGGGCCUCGCAGAGUUUCAGGAGAGAAGUUGCAUUAGUGCACUCGUGUUUUUAAGAAAGUUUGAGGUACGGAGGAGCACAAAAAGUUCUUUGGGAAGUGUGGGAAAGGCUUUUAAAGAUUCACAAGUCAUGACUCAGCCAAGUUUGUACAGACACAAGCAUGAACAGGAGGGCAGAGAUGGAAAAGGUUAGCCUAACUAAACAAUCUUAGGCCCACUAAGCUGAACAACCUGGGUAUAUAUAUAUAAGCAAAGAAAACUAGUGUCUUUGCCUUGUUUGUCUUCCUCAGCCCCUCAAAGACGAUGUGUUACACACCUGAAGCAGUCUUACAUCAGUUGAACAGCAUCAUCCGUCAGACUGGAGAGAAAACGGCAAGACGAGGAGCCUGUCCCUCUGAGUCCCCGGCUAACUCUGUGGUGGCUGCCUGUGUGAUUGCCUGGGCAAAGUAUGGAGGAGAGUGGGCCAGAGGCAGAGCAGCGAGGCACAGAUAACAGGCUUACAAGCAGAAUUACUAUGUGGGCUCUUUACCAUUGUGGAACAUCUUGAUUUUAAUGGCAGUAAAAAUGCCACAUCAAUGCCACAUGCUUACCAACAUUUGAGGUUAGUGAAAGUUGAUUAUCUAACAAAUAAAACCAUAUCUCACAGUUGUUGUGGAAAGGGUGUUGUCAUUUCAGAUGAUGACUUUUAUAUUAUAGGAAUGCUAAAACCCAAACCAAUUUUAAAAUCAGACUGCAUCCCAGAAGAAGAAACUACACGGAUGUUCUUAUUUUGUAAUCUCAAACAUGCAAAUGUUGUUGGAUGUUGAAUUGAUUUAUGAGGGAAAACCAUUUGAGGCUGGACUGUCCGUUGUAAAUGACGCUGAACGACUUUAAUCUGGAGUUACGGUAAAUAUAAGCCAUAAUGUGUGCAAUAUCUAAGAGCAGUGCUCACCGCACAGCGAGGGACUUGCCUGAAAACCUGUGAGUUGAAAAUAUAACAGAGAUAAAACCGCUAAGGAAUCUACUUACGAUUAUUGUAAACUCUGAACUGCAAUAUCCCACUUUGUAAUGCAACUACUGCACAGCAAUUUCCCUGGGGAUAAAUAAAGUUUCACUCCAUCUUAUCAUGCCGACCUGAGAAGCAGCAGCUGCUGCAAGGCAUCCUGGAACUCUGUAGAGAAGCUCUACAUUUGUUACUGACUGACCGACAGUUCAUGCAAUUAGUCAUGAGGGAUAAUUGUGUCUAAGUAACCAGCUUUUAAGGUCUCAUUCUCACCUUGAUGUCAUUUUCAGUCUUUCUUGUUUUUGUUGCAUGUAAAAUGUCACCGGUUUCAUAAAAUGUUACUUUUUCUCCCACAAAGCCAACAUCAAUUAUGUAGAAAAAUAAGGUGCUUUGGCUUUUGUAAAGGCCAGUACAUUUCAACCGAUGUUGCUGAAAUCCAAAUGAAACGACGAUGCACUUCCAUUCAAGGAUGAUGGGAAACUGCAUCGCUCCAGUUCCUCUUUAUCUCGAUUUUUUAAAAACCCCUUCCUGCCACUAUUACAAAGCAAUGUCUCCAUUAUGAAGGGCUGAGAUGGAGCUAGGAUUGCACCGCCGUGGUUGCUGACAGGAACAAAGGUCAACCCUUUAUCCAUCAACCUCCCAAUACAUCUACCUAUCAGCCUGGGUGUCCCUUCCCGUAUCGUUCAGUCCAUCGGCCCCCAACAAACAGCCCCACUCCUUUGUAAAAAGGUUUUUUCUACAUCAGCCUACUUUCAACAAGCUGACAAAUGCAGCAAUGCCCCCAAAUAUGUGCAAGUAAACUAACUUAAAUUUGACCCCUAACAUUCUCUGUAAACAACCAAAUGUAGACUGGCAUAAUUUUCCAAGCUUCUCAGAAUUUCUUUGAGCAUUUCACUAUUAAAUUGAGAAAUGAACACACACAGCAGUAGUAAUAUUGUGGCCUGAAAACAAAAUCUCUGCUUUAAUGAGCAGAACUGCUGGCAGACGUUUUUAGUUUUAGAGUUGUUGAUUGCAAACUGUCUUUCUGCAUGAUUUGUUUAGGGAGGAACGGAUUUGUCACCUGCUGUAAUUUUGCUGUUGGAGAAGUUUUAAAAGUGUCUCCUGUAUACUUCUGCCUAUAUGCAUACAGUGGAUGUAAAGGGUUCAGCGACUUCCAAGUGUUAAUGUGUUGAAAUUCACUUUCCCUGAAACCUGCCUCGUCUAAAUUGUUUCCAGGUAGUUUGCGAUUUGUUGUAUUUCCUGGAAUAAUGUGUGAAAGUCUAGAUUUAGAUGUUGACCUUGUUGCUUUACGUCGAAGCUGAGCUAACAAAUGAGUGAACAAAACACAUUUAAAAUGUGACAUUGAGCUCCCUAAUGUGUUGCACACAAAGAGUCUAGAAAUCCUUCAGCUUCACAAAAUAAUUUGCAGAAUUAUAACAGUAAAUGAUCAUUGUAAUACUUAAAGAAAAAAAGCUUCCCUAUUUCAGCUAAAUGGUUAUUUGACUUUGACAAAUGAUAAAGUCUUCACCUAUUGACAACGUCAAUGGAGAAUAGCGGGGUGGACAUCCCUCGUUCGGCAGCAGUGGAAGUCAAAUCAAGACGAUCUUUGGGAGGGACAGACAACUGAUUAAAACGAUACAAUUCUGUGUUUUUCACAAAACAUUUCAAUUAUUUACUUUCCCACAUGCAGAACCAAUCCCUGUCCUGCAGGCCGUUAGUAAGUCGAUGCUGCUGCUUUGGAUGAUGCACCAGGGUGAUGUUUGUGAGGGAGAGAGAAUUGCAAAAAAGAAAAGAGGUCAAAGUACGAACACGGCCUACCUGUCCCUGGGCUUUAUGAGCACUAAUA
ensembl:lncRNA